rnacentral:rRNA from 1 species
UUGGAGGGCAAGUCUGGUGCCAGCAGCCGCGGUAAUUCCAGCUCCAAUAGCGUAUAUUAAAGUUGCUGCAGUUAAAAAGCUCGUAGUUGAAUUUCGGGACUAAUAUGUUGGUCGUGCCUCGGUACGUACUGAUAUUUUUGGUUUCUCCCUUCUGACGAACCUUGAUGUCAUUAAUUUGGUGUCUUGGGAAAUCAGGACUGUUACUUUGAAAAAAUUAGAGUGUUUAAAGCAGGCUAACGCCUGAAUACAUUAGCAUGGAAUAAUGAAAUAGGACGUUCGAUCCUAUUUUGUUGGUUUCUAGGAUUGACGUAAUGAUUAAUAGGGAUAGUUGGGGGCAUUAGUAUUCAAUUGUCAGAGGUGAAAUUCUUGGAUUUAUUGAAGACUAACUACUGCGAAAGCAUUUGCCAAGGAUGUUUUCAUUAAUCAAGAACGAAAGUUAGGGGAUCGAAGACGAUCAGAUACCGUCGUAGUCUUAACCAUAAACUAUGCCGACUAGGGAUCGGAUGAUGUUAAUUUUUUAAUGACUCAUUCGGCGCCUUACGGGAAAC